rnacentral:lncRNA from 1 species
UUACUAUACAUUGCAUUUGAACUUAAUCUCCACAGUAACAAUUAGGUAGUAUUACUUGGAUUUCAUGGAUGAAGAAAACCAAGAUACAAAAAGUUCACACAGCCAGUAAGCAGAUGAGCCUGACUUCAUAGUCAUACAUAGCCUGAAUUGAGUCCCAGCAGGAGCACAUGGGCAUGGACAUCUACCAGAUUUGGGAACUGGCGUAGCCAAG